AGUGAACGCUGGCGGUAGGCCUAACACAUGCAAGUCGAACGGCAGCACAGUAAGAGCUUGCUCUUACGGGUGGCGAGUGGCGGACGGGUGAGGAAUACAUCGGAAUCUACUUUUUCGUGGGGGAUAACGUAGGGAAACUUACGCUAAUACCGCAUACGACCUACGGGUGAAAGCAGGGGAUCUUCGGACCUUGCGCGAUUGAAUGAGCCGAUGUCGGAUUAGCUAGUUGGCGGGGUAAAGGCCCACCAAGGCGACGAUCCGUAGCUGGUCUGAGAGGAUGAUCAGCCACACUGGAACUGAGACACGGUCCAGACUCCUACGGGAGGCAGCAGUGGGGAAUAUUGGACAAUGGGCGCAAGCCUGGUCCAGCCAUACCGCGUGGGUGAAGAAGGCCUUCGGGUUGUAAAGCCCUUUUGUUGGGAAAGAAAAGCAGCAGGUUAAUACCCCGCUGUUCUGACGGUACCUAAAGAAUAAGCACCGGCUAACUUCGUG
rnacentral:rRNA from 1 species